UGUGACGCGAGCGUGAUGACGUCACAACGGUGCGGCGUCCCGUCAGUAUCAACACAACAGCGGAUCAAUGGAUGUAUAGCGGAUAAAAACACCAUCAAGCUCAGCGCGAGACACGACUCUGAUGACGGAUCCAGUAUGCUGGAGUUCUGCUGCGGUUUUGUGCAGUCCGGCCCGGGCUGCCUGGUCCUGAUGCUGGUGUUGUGGGGUCCAGUGGCAGGCGGCACGAAUGUCGUCAUCCAGAAAGACGCGCAGUUUAAUGUGACGUAUUACGACACAGUCACCAGUGACAACCAGACAAUCUACUCCUACAACCACACCGUCUCCAGAAACAAGACGGAGGGCGUGCGGGUUUCAGUGGAGUUGUUGUCAGAGAGCGCUCAGAGUCCGGUUCUGUUCGUGGUCCGUCAGAAACAGGCGGUUCUGUCGUUUCAGGUUCCCCUCAUCCUCCGAGGCCUAUACCAGAGGAAGUAUCAGUACACUCAGGUGGGCCGCACGCUGUGUCAGCCGCCCAUGAAGGUGAGGUCAGAGAUGCAGUUCUUCUAUAUUGACGUGUCGACGCUGUCCAGCGCAGGGAUCCACUAUCAGCUGCGAGUCAGUCGUGUGGACAGCUUCACGCUGCAGACAGACAAGAAGUUCAGCUUCAAUGCGACGCCGUCCCAACCACAGUUCUUCAAUUAUGUGUUUCCUGAUGGUGUGGACACAGUCAUCGUAAAGGUGAAUUCACAGAAGAACUUCCCCUGCUCAGUCAUGUCCAUACAGGACAUACAGUGUCCAGUUUAUGAUCUGGAUAAUAAUGUGGCGUUUAUUGGAAUGUAUCAGACUAUGACGACCACAUCUGCCAUCACUGUGCAGAGGAAGGAUUUCCCCAGUAACAGUUUCUAUGUGGUGGUGGUGGUGAAGACUGAAGACGAGGCGUGUGGAGGACCGCUGCGGUUCUACCCGCUCUUACCCGAUGAGCUGAUGGAUGCGGGGAAUCGCAGUAAAACUCUGGAUGUGAUCGUGUCUCCUGCGAUUAACUCGGACGUGUAUGUCAUGGGGAUGCUCUUCUGUUUUGGGAUCUUCCUGUCCUUUUAUCUGCUCACAUUUCUAGUGGCCUGUGUGGAGAAUAAGAGGAUGAACAGGAAGAGGGAGGGGCUUCUGAACCCAGCUGACACCUCACCUGCAGAGACAGGAAAGCCUCCAGUGUCUCCGUAUGAAUACGGCUCAUUUGCUGAUAACACCAGCACAUUGAGUUCUGAAGCCGUGACUGACAGUUUAGCAUCAACUCAAGGCAACUAUGGAUACAUUGAUCGAUCAUUAGAGACCGUCGGCCGCAGUCGUCAAGAGUCUUUGAGUUCAGUAGAAGAGGAUGAUUACGACACGCUCGCCGACAUCGACUCGGACAAGAACAUCGUCCGGACAAAGAAGUUUCUAUGUGUGUCUGACCUCGCUCGCAAAGAUAAACGAAUCCUCAGCAAGAAAUACCAGAUCUACUUCUGGAACAUUGCUACGAUCGGAGUGUUUUACGCACUUCCUGUCAUUCAGCUGGUCAUCACCUAUCAAACGGUUGUAAAUGUCACAGGAAACCAGGACAUCUGUUAUUACAACUUCCUGUGCGCACACCCUCUCGGGGCUCUGAGUUCGUUUAAUAAUAUCCUGAGUAACCUUGGUUACGUGAUGCUGGGGCUGCUCUUCCUGCUCAUCAUUCUACAGCGGGACAUCCUUCAUAACCGUGCGCUGGAACGCAACGAUAGCACAGCACUGGAGUGUGGUAUUCCCAAGCACUUUGGCUUGUAUUAUGCGAUGGGCACCGCUCUGAUGAUGGAGGGGCUGCUGAGCGCCUGUUACCACGUCUGUCCAAACUACACCAACUUUCAGUUCGACACGUCGUUCAUGUAUAUGAUCGCUGGAUUGUGUAUGUUGAAGCUCUAUCAGAAGAGACAUCCAGACAUCAACGCCAGCGCGUACUCCGCAUACGCCUGUCUGGCUGCAGUCAUAUUCGUCUCUGUGCUGGGGGUGGUGUUCGGUAAGGGAAACACGGUGUUCUGGAUCGUCUUCUCUGUCAUACACAUUCUGGCUACAAUGCUGCUGAGCACACAACUGUACUACAUGGGCCGUUGGAGACUGAACUCUGGGAUCUUGCGCAGGAUGUUGUAUGUGAUCUACACAGACUGUAUUCGUCAGUGCAGUGGACCCAUGUACAUCGUAAGUACAAACACACACACACACGGACAAACAUACACUGCACACAUGGACGCAAACACACACUGCACACACGGACGCAAACACGCACUGCACACUAAAAACAAAAGGUUUUUCAUUCAUGAAUUUUGUGGAGGAUGAGAGUUUAAGAGAUUUAAUGCCCAUUGCAAUGAAUACUAAACUUGGGCACUAAAGCCAUCUUUCCACAGUAAAGGUGGCACAGAAGCUGCAUCUUAAGUGGCAAUUAGGUGUAUUUCACAUAGCAGGAAUAAAUGCAUUUUGACAGGAAAAGUACAUAUGGUGUCAAAAUAUUUUCAAAAUCUGCGAUUUAAUUGCAAUUUAAAAAACAAUUAUCGACUCUAGAAGUGGCCGUUAGAUAUUCAUCUGUCCACAGUUAGACAAACUGUCUAUAAAUGGAGGUGAUUUAGUACUAUAGGUACUCUCACUAGAAGUGGCCAUUAGAUAUUCAUCUGUCCACAGUUAGACAAACUGUCUAUAAAUGGAGAUGAUUUAGUACUAUAGGUACUCUCACUAGAAGUGGCCGUUAGAUAUUCAUCUGUCCACAGUUAGACAAACUGUCUAUAAAUGGAGGUGAUUUAGUACUAUAGGUACUCUCUCUAGAAGUGGCCGUUAGAUAUUCAUCUGUCCACAGUUAGACAAACUGUCUAUAAAUGGAGAUGAUUUAGUACUAUAGGUACUCUCACUAGAAGUGGCCGUUAGAUAUUCAUCUGUCCACAGUUAGACAAACUGUCUAUAAAUGGAGGUGAUUUAGUACUAUAGGUACUCUCUCUAGAAGUGGCCGUUAGAUAUUCAUCUGUCCACAGUUAGACAAACUGUCUAUAAAUGGAGGUGAUUUAGUACUAUAGGUACUCUCACUAGAAGUGGCCGUUAGAUAUUCAUCUGUCCACAGUUAGACAAACUGUCUAUAAAUGGAGAUGAUUUAGUACUAUAGGUACUCUCACUAGAAGUGGCCGUUAGAUAUUCAUCUGUCCACAGUUAGACAAACUGUCUAUAAAUGGAGAUGAUUUAGUACUAUAGGUACUCUCACUAGAAGUGGCCGUUAGAUAUUCAUCUGUCCACAGUUAGACAAACUGUCUAUAAAUGGAGAUGAUUUAGUACUAUAGGUACUCUCUCUAGAAGUGGCCGUUAGAUAUUCAUCUGUGCACAGUUAGACAAACUGUCUAUAAAUGGAGAUGAUUUAGUACUAUAGGUACUCUCUCUAGAAGUGGCCGUUAGAUAUUCAUCUGUCCACAGUUAGACAAACUGUCUAUAAAUGGAGAUGAUUUAGUACUAUAGGUACUCUCACUAGAAGUGGCCGUUAGAUAUUCAUCUGUCCACAGUUAGACAAACUGUCUAUAAAUGGAGAUGAUUUAGUACUAUAGGUACUCUCACUAGAAGUGGCCGUUAGAUAUUCAUCUGUGCACAGUUAGACAAACUGUCUAUAAAUGGAGGUGAUUUAGUACUAUAGGUACUCUCUCUAGAAGUGGCCGUUAGAUAUUCAUCUGUGCACAGUUAGACAAACUGUCUAUAAAUGGAGAUGAUUUAGUACUAUAGGUACUCUCACUAGAAGUGGCCGUUAGAUAUUCAUCUGUCCACAGUUAGACAAACUGUCUAUAAAUGGAGAUGAUUUAGUACUUUAUGUACUCUCACUAGAAGUGGCCGUUAGAUAUUCAUCUGUCCACAGUUAGACAAACUGUCUAUAAAUGGAGAUGAUUUAGUACUAUAGGUACUCUCACUAGAAGUGGCCGUUAGAUAUUCAUCUGUCCACAGUUAGACAAACUGUCUAUAAAUGGAGAUGAUUUAGUACUAUAGGUACUCUCACUAGAAGUGGCCGUUAGAUAUUCAUCUGUCCACAGUUAGACAAACUGUCUAUAAAUGGAGAUGAUUUAGUACUAUAGGUACUCUCACUAGAAGUGGCCGUUAGAUAUUCAUCUGUCCACAGUUAGACAAACUGUCUAUAAAUGGAGAUGAUUUAGUACUAUAGGUACUCUCACUAGAAGUGGCCGUUAGAUAUUCAUCUGUCCACAGUUAGACAAACUGUCUAUAAAUGGAGAUGAUUUAGUACUAUAGGUACUCUCACUAGAAUUGGCCGUUAGAUAUUCAUCUGUCCACAGUGAGACAAACUGUCUAUAAAUGGAGAUGAUUUAGUACUAUAGGUACUCUCUCUAGAAGUGGCCGUUAGAUAUUCAUCUGUCCACAGUUAGACAAACUGUCUAUAAAUGGAGAUGAUUUAGUACUAUAGGUACUCUCUCUAGAAGUGGCCGUUAGAUAUUCAUCUGUCCACAGUGAGACAAACUGUCUAUAAAUGGAGAUGAUUUAGUACUAUAGGUACUCUCUCUAGAAGUGGCCGUUAGAUAUUCAUCUGUCCACAGUGAGACAAACUGUCUAUAAAUGGAGAUGAUUUAGUACUAUAGGUACUCUCACUAGAAGUGGCCGUUAGAUAUUCAUCUGUCCACAGUGAGACAAACUGUCUAUAAAUGGAGAUGAUUUAGUACUAUAGGUACUCUCACUAGAAGUGGCCGUUAGAUAUUCAUCUGUCCACAGUGAGACAAACUGUCUAUAAAUGGAGAUGAUUUAGUACUAUAGGUACUCUCACUAGAAGUGGCCGUUAGAUAUUCAUCUGUCCACAGUGAGACAAACUGUCUAUAAAUGGAGAUGAUUUAGUACUAUAGGUACUCUCACUAGAAGUGGCCGUUAGAUAUUCAUCUGUCCACAGUGAGACAAACUGUCUAUAAAUGGAGAUGAUUUAGUACUAUAGGUACUCUCACUAGAAGUGGCCGUUAGAUAUUCAUCUGUCCACAGUGAGACAAACUGUCUAUAAAUGGAGAUGAUUUAGUACUAUAGGUACUCUCUCUAGAAGUGGCCGUUAGAUAUUCAUCUGUCCACAGUUAGACAAACUGUCUAUAAAUGGAGAUGAUUUAGUACUAUAGGUACUCUCACUAGAAGUGGCCGUUAGAUAUUCAUCUGUCCACAGUGAGACAAACUGUCUAUAAAUGGAGAUGAUUUAGUACUAUAGGUACUCUCACUAGAAGUGGCCGUUAGAUAUUCAUCUGUCCACAGUUAGACAAACUGUCUAUAAAUGGAGAUGAUUUAGUACUAUAGGUACUCUCUCUAGAAGUGGCCGUCCAGUCAAGAUGACUCACACCGCAGAAUGCUCAAUGAGGUAAAGAACCCUAGAGUGACAGAAAAAGACUUGAAGGAAUCAUUGGAACUGGUUAACAUCUCUGUUCAUGAGUCUACUAUACAGAAAACAUUAAACAGGUAUGUGUUCAUGGCAGGACGUCAUGAAGGAAGCCGCUGCUUUCCUACUAAAACAUUUCUGCGCACCUGAAGAUUCCCAAAGACCAUCUUGACACUCCACAUUGCUACUGGAAAAUGUUUUGUGGACUGACUUUAGUGGAGGGGAUUUUGAUUAAUUGCACACAAUUGUGACAAAUGAGCAUUUUUUUAUGUUACGAGUGACUCACUGAAUCAUGAUUGUUGAACUGUUGUAUAAAUGGUGAUCAUAAUUGACUGACACAUUCCAGAAUAGCUUGUGUAGUACGUUGUUUGUUUUGUUUUAUUUGUUUGGAGACUCUAUUAUCAGCAUACUCAUGUAAUGAUAUUUGUCUGAUGUGUGGCUCUUUGCAGGAUCGUAUGGUUUUGCUGGUGAUGGGGAACAUUGUGAACUGGUCACUGGCGGCGUACGGCCUCAUCAAACGACCCAAUGACUUCGCCUCAUACCUGCUGGCCAUCGCCAUCUGUAACCUGCUGCUUUACUUCGCUUUUUACAUCAUAAUGAAG